rnacentral:lncRNA from 1 species
CUCUAUUGGGCUCUUAUGCCACAAGAGGGCAAUAUUCCUUCUCCCUGUUCACCCCAGGGCCAGGGACAGCUCCUAAUCCCCAGAACCCACAGAAAUUAUUCUAACUAGUUAAUCCUAAACCUGCUACUCAGCCUCGCCUUGCCUUUCCCAUGGAAACUAUAAGAAAGUCUCCUGCCACAUUUCCCCUCACUCUCUCUGCCUGAUCCUGGUGCCUCCCCACAGGGCCCUGCAUGGAGUGCUGCAACUCCUGUUUCCAGGGAUCUACGAGAGGACUGAGGCUCUGGGGAGGGAAGUCAUUUCCCCAGCAGUCUGACUCCAGUGCCUGCCAUCUGUGGUUUGUGCCUCUGUCAUCUUCACAAGUUUCAUUUCUCAUAGUGAGAUGAUGGCAGCCGCCUACAAGCGUAGAGAAGAGUUCUCAGAAUGAAACUACUCUGCUGGCACCUUAAUCUUGGACUUCCCAUCCUCUAGAACUGUGAGAAAUAAAUUUCCGCUGUUUAACUCACUCGGUCUGUGGUCUUCUGUCAUGGCUGCUGAGCAGACUAACGUAACUACCAGUGUGAAGUCGCUGAAUGUGGAGUUGGCAGAAAUGUGCAGCAUGCGCCAUUGUCUAGUGUUCCCACUGCACAGACACAAGAGCAUGACAACCUCAAGUCACAGAUGAUA